AUUGAACGCUGGCGGCAGGCUUAACACAUGCAAGUCGCGCGGGGUGAUGGUGCUUGCACUAUCACUUAGCGGCGGACGGGUGAGUAAUGCUUAGGAAUCUGCCUAUUAGUGGGGGACAACAUCUCGAAAGGGAUGCUAAUACCGCAUACGUCCUACGGGAGAAAGCAGGGGAUCACUUGUGACCUUGCGCUAAUAGAUGAGCCUAAGUCGGAUUAGCUAGUUGGUGGGGUAAAGGCCUACCAAGGCGACGACCUGUAGCGGGUCUGAGAGGAUGAUCCGCCACACUGGGACUGAGACACGGCCCAGACUCCUACGGGAGGCAGCAGUGGGGAAUAUCGGACAAUGGGGGGAACCCUGAUCCAGCCAUGCCGCGUGUGUGAAGAAGGCCUUAUGGUUGUAAAGCACUUUAAGCGAGGAGGAGGCUCUUUUGGUUAAUACCCAAGAUGAGUGGACGUUACUCGCAGAAUAAGCACCGGCUAACUCUGUGCCAGCCGCCGCCGUAA
rnacentral:rRNA from 1 species